UAUUCUGCUGUAACCGUAUACCUGAAGCUGCAUUACUGGCACGUUCAUAUCUUUCUAGAGAUAGUGGCAAUUUGGAGAGACGACCUGAGUAAAAUUAAUCCAAAAGCUGCAGAGUCUCUAGCAGAUCCUUCUGAAUAUCCAAAUCUAUUUGAAGACUGACAGGUUGCUCUAACUGUAGAAAAAAGUGUUGCGUCUCAGAGGGGCAAUUAUCUUCCUGCUGACCAGUAUGAUGCUAGGGUCCCCCUGGACACUGUGUUCACAGCUUCAGUUAUCCUCUGUACAUGAGCAGAUUGAGAAUCAGCAUGCCAGUUUGCUUAAUCUUCUCCAGGUAGUUAUUCCCUUGUUACAAUGUAUCAUACAUCAAUAAUUUGUUGAAAUUCUUUAUUCCUCAUAAUGAAUUGGAUACUCCAAUUUUUAAUUCUAUUUUCUCUCUGUUUGCUUUAGAAUAUCCUCUGUACAUGA